UCCAGGGUUCAAGUCCCUGUUCGG
rnacentral:piRNA from 4 species